GGGGUGGUGGCGCAGUUGGCUAGCGCGUAGGUCUCAUAAUCCUGAGGUCGAGAGUUCGAGCUUCUCUCACCCCA
rnacentral:tRNA from 2 species